rfam:Pongo abelii chromosome 2b.
GUGCUUGCUUCAGCAGCACAUAUACUAAAAUUGGAAUGAUACAGAGAAGAUGAGCAUGGCCCCUUAAAAAAAAAAAAAACAAAGGACAAAAAAGAAAUAACUGUAAUCU